GCUCUGAGUGCAAGGACUGACAGCCCCUGACAUUCAUAUAGCAAUUACAAACUUUUAGUAAAUGUUUUGAUUUGAUUUAAUGACAAAAUCAUAAGAAUAAUAAUGGACUUAAACAGUCUUCUAUUUUGGGAUAUGGUUGAGAGAUGUAACAAGGCUGUUAUACUGGUAAAGAAAUCAAACACAGAUUCUCUGUAGGUGCCAGCACCUGUAGUGUCAUGUUAUCACCUGGGCAGUCUAGUAGUUUCCCUGUGUUUCCUCUGUUUCCCUGUCCUUUUGUCUCCUGUGUGUUUUACCCUGUCAGCCUGGUCUGUCGGUAAGGAGGUGUGGCCAUCUCCUCCUCCCUCUCCUGGGCGGUCGUUGCUGGAGCAGCUGACACCAAUCAUCAAUCAAGACACACUCUGCAGUAUAUCAACCCUGGUCUUCUAUUCCUGCCAUUCAUCGCAAGAUCGUUAUCGUCGCCACAGUGUGUGGUAUACUUACCUGCCAGCUGCCUCCACUUCCUGCGAUACCUACCUGCUCACUCUCCAACAUCAUUGCUUCUCCUCCGAUCACAGUAGACUGGAAACACCAUCUGGAGGAACACUGGAACCCCAUUCCCCAUGCUCCCUUGAAGACUUUCAGUCUUUAAUCCCAGCCACGUUGGACUCUGAGAAACCUUGCCCUGUCCACCAUUUAAAUUUAUUAUUUAUUAAUAAAUUCUCAUUGUUACAACUUUAAA